rnacentral:misc_RNA from 1 species
GAUGAAGAACGUAGCGAAAUGCGAUAAGUAAUGUGAAUUGCAGAGUUCAGUGAAUCAUCGAAUCUUUGAACGCACCUUGCGCUCCUUGGCAUUCCGAGGAGCAUGCCUGUUUGAGUGUCAUUAAAUUCUCAAGACCUGUCUGCUUUUUUGAUAGGUAUUGGAUUUUGGGGGUUGCAGGCUGUUUCAAAUAAAUAGCCUUGCUCUCCUUGAAUGUAUUAGUGGAGAAAAGCCAUUGAACUCCAUUGGUGUGAUAAAACCUAUCAAUGCCAGGAGCAAUAUCACUACUUCUCUCUGCUGUCUAACUGUGACUGUCUGUAUUAAUUAGUAUGGAUGGGGACAACUUGACCAACUUGACCUCAAAUCAGGUAGGACUACCCGCUGAACUUAAGCAUAUCAAUAAGCGGAGGA